rnacentral:rRNA from 1 species
AGCGAACGCUGGCGGCAGGCUUAACACAUGCAAGUCGAACGGGCCCUUUCGGGGGUCAGUGGCAGACGGGUGAGUAACACGUGGGAACGUACCUUUCGGUUCGGGAUAACCCAGGGAAACUUGGGCUAAUACCGGAUACGUCCUUAGGGAGAAAGAUUGAUUUGCCGAGAGAUCGGCCCGCGUCUGAUUAGCUAGUUGGUGAGGUAAUGGCUCACCAAGGCGACGAUCAGUAGCUGGUCUGAGAGGAUGAUCAGCCACACUGGGACUGAGACACGGCCCAGACUCCUACGGGAGGCAGCAGUGGGGAAUCUUGCGCAAUGGUCUAACGACUGACGCAGCGACGCCGCGUGUGGGAGGACGCCUUUCGGGUGUAACCACUGUUGCCGGGACGAACAGCCCUUUCGAGGGUCGUGACGGUACCGGGUGAGGAAGCACCGCUAACUCCGUGCCAGCCGCCGCAGUAAU